AACCCGAGCUUAAAAAAAAAAUUUAAAAAUCCUCUGAAAGAGGAGAGAGGAAAAGGCCCUCCGGGCUCUGGCCUCUGCGAGCCAUGCUCCGGUCAUCGGGCACACACGCGCCCACGCGCCCACGCGCCACCGCCAACGCCAACGCCGCCAUGUGUGGUGGCUAGAAUUCGAAAAGCCUCGACUUUCCGAUGCGAUUCCAACAGUAUUCGUGAGGACGGUGUACCACCGGCGUUGAUUUGGCCGUAAACCACGGCCUGAUUCGAAGCCUGCAAUCUCAGCUCGAACAGGCGCGUUGAUUGCAGCGUGAUUCGGGGCCAGAGUCCCAGGGUGAAACGAAAAGACGCGACAGUUGGGAUUUUGGCAGUUGGAACAUCGCGAGACAAAUCGACAUCUGAUUGCGGCGCAAACCCUAACUAGGGUUCCCUGAUGCUGAAGACAGAUUGGGCCAAUUAUGCCGAUUAAGUUUUAGGUUUAGAGUAUCAGGGGUAGGGUGUAAAUGGGUCUGCUGGGUAUUUUAAGUUUUGGGCCUACGGGCUAUUGGUAUUUGGGCUCUGUAUACGGACUGUUUAAAUAAAUAAAUAUUUAUUUAUUUAUUUUAA